rnacentral:rRNA from 1 species
CAGUAGCCGCGGUAACACGUAGGUGGCAAGCGUUGUCCGGAAUUAUUGGGCGUAAAGGGAGCGCAGGCGGUUUAGUAAGUCUGAAGUUAAAGGCACUGGCUCAACCAAUGUAUGCUUUGGAAACUGUUAGACUUGAGUGCAGAAGGGGAGAGUGGAAUUCCAUGUGUAGCGGUGAAAUGCGUAGAUAUAUGGAGGAACACCAACAGCGAAAGCACUCUGCUGGGACGACACUGACACUAAGAGACGAAAGCUAGGGGAGCAAAUGGGAUUAGAUACCCCCGUAGUCCCUGUCUCUUAUACA